UACGUAGGUGGCAAGCGUUGUCCGGAUUUACUGGGCGUAAAGAGCGCGCAGGCGGUCAUUCAAGUCGAGUGUGAAAGCCCCCGGCUCAACUGGGGAGGGUCACUCGAUACUGUUUGACUCGAAGGCGGGAGAGGGAAGUGGAAUUCCCGGUGUAGUGGUGAAAUGCGUAGAUAUCGGGAGGAACACCAGUGGCGAAGGCGACUUCCUGGCCCGUUCUUGACGCUGAGGCGCG
rnacentral:rRNA from 1 species